GCCCUCGUAGUUCAAUGGAUAGAACACCGGAUUGCGGAUCCGGCGGUUGUGGGUUCGACCCCCGCCGAGGGCA
rnacentral:tRNA from 1 species